UGCGUUUGCUAUUGCAGGACUAACCUGUCUCUUUUUAUUUGUUUAGGGGAAGGAGACAUCAGCAGAUGGAGUCCAGACACUUGGGUGGUCAAGAGGUCCGAUUCCUCACCCCAGUCCGUCGGUCCGUGCGGAUCGAAAAGACUGCCCUCAGGUACCCUUCUAAUUUGCAAGAGGGCGAGUCCUGUGUGACCUCAUUCCGUGACCUGCCUGAAGAAGAGGAAGUGGGCGAAGGCAACCCUGUUUCCAGUAAAGCCCCUCUUUACAUCUACAGGGAAAACGAGGCUCUGAAAGAACAAGUCCACGUGAAGAUUAUUCACUUGGAAGACUGAAGUCUUCACCCGUCCACAAUUUUCUGUAUAUAAUUUAAUCCUAAAUAAACGUUUGUAAAUGCCUUUUCCACGUGACUCCUGUGUGAUUUAUGGGACUACCAGUUCGAUCCAGAUUGAAGCUGGAUGUGCCGACCUCCGCAAUUCCCAAUUAUUUUGCACGAUAUAACCUACGUGAAAAGCAGACGGGGACCGAUGUGUAUUAACCUGUCCGCGAACGGCAGUGGAACGAGGAGAAUUUCCUCACCCGACAAAUCCCACCCACCCACCCACCCUUCCCGGUCGACCGCCGCUGGGAUAUAAUACCAGAGACCUGCUGCAAAUUCCAGGAUCGUCCUCGGCCCCUCCAGCCGCGUCGCUCCGAGCUCGUCCGUGCGUCGCAGCGCGCCGCGUCCAUCAAGGCUUCUCUCGCAGAAACUAGUGCGGGGCUGCUGCUUCCAGAAACACCUAACCCUGCUGGAGCACAUGGCACGCUGGAAGCUGCAGGAAACAAAGAAGGCAUGUCUCGAAACAAUGAGUGGGACCUCUGCUGAUCUUAUGGACAAACAAGUCAUUUUUAAGACUUUUCGGAAAAAGCACAAUAAAUUCAAAGUAACAUUGUUUGAGUACGUGGAGAAGGGGAAGGAGAGUGGACAGGUCUUUGUGGCCUUUGGGUUUCUGAAAGGAGAACAAUACCAUGUCCCCGUAGUAAAGAAUGAAGCGGUUGAGGUGCAGCCAAUGGGGGUGGAGAAUGACCACAGUAACAGCGAGCAGCUUUUCACGUGGGGUAAAGGACCAUACGGUGUUCUGGAAUCAGUGUCCAAUCCAAAACUAUAUCUGGCCAUCAACCGGACUCGUAAACUGGUAGUUAGCCGCGAUAACAAAGAACCGUUCAUAAUCACAGUUCAGGCUGAUAACUCGUGAGCAAGCUGUUUGUUCUCUUAACUGCCACUUGACCAGUUCAGGGCUUUUGAAUAUCCAUCUCAUCAUUAACCAGUGACAUCACCACAGCAUAAUGCAGUACAAUUCACCAUGUAUGCUCCUGAUUUUAUUGCUUUUAAAAAUAAACAGUAUGAUAAUCUUCA
rnacentral:lncRNA from 1 species